AAAUACCAGAAGGGUGCUGUCAUAAAAUUUAAUUUGAUCCUGAAAUGCUUAACAAAGACCAAGACAUGAGGGAAGCAGAGGUCAGACCCAGACACAUGGGUUGGGAAAAAGAAUGAUGAUACAGAUUCUAGUGACAGCGCUGUGCUGACACAGAGGCAGAUGAGGAGAAAGACACAGAAACUUUGAAGGUGAAAAACAGGAUAAAUCAAAGAGGGUAGUCUGAAGAAUAAGAAGAGGUUUUAAAAUAGCAUUUCCCAGGAAAGUGGUUCUCAGAUUUCCCCUGGUACAGCACUGGUUCCAUGAGACACCUGCCUGCUCUGAGCAUUCAAGUGUUGGAACUCCGAAACCCUACCAAUUAAGUCUUCAGCCUGCAGUGUCUGCCUUUCCACUACAGGUCACCAUUGCCUUUUUCAUCUCUCUAUUUCCUGUGCAGCAGCUGGAGAGGGACUGCUCCAGAGGCAACUUGCCAUCUUGUCAGCCAGGAGUGGCCAAGUGGACACUUCAGAUCCUAUGAUUGCUUUGGUCACCUGUGAAGAUAAAUCAAAAUGCACUCGACAUGUCUAGGUGGAGCCGUGACACUUCCAGGACUAUUCAACAGAAUUUCAAAAUAAGUUGUCCACGCUUCAUGCCCACACAGCUCCCUUCUGCAGCCCCCUUCAUCCUGCUUCAGAACCUCACUGCAUGAACACAAAGUUUUUGAUAAAACUCCUAAUGAUACAUAAGACUGGAAAAUGGUAAUAAUUGUGUUUCACCCUAUCCCAACAAAAGACAAAAAGAAAAUAAGUAUGUGUUCAAGAGACUUGCAAUUUUAUCGUCGCUAGCUGACUGUGCUAAUAAAUGUCCCAACGAAAUCCAUGUUUUAUUACAGAGCCCUUGAAUCUACAGCUAUUUUCCCUCCCUGGCAAAUGAAGAAGCAAGUAGAGUGCUCUUAUCAAGCUGAGGCUGACAGCUAGGAUGCUCUUUAUUGCCACAAAAUAGGCAGGUGUUUUUUGACAGUGCAUAGUCAUGGAUAAACUCCAAAUAUCCUCCAUAAUUUUGUGCUAAAAGGUCAUCUUUAUUCAUUUCUCGGCAUGUUCAGAAAAAGAUAGAUAGAUAUACAGAAUUAGAAUCUUUUCAUCAAUGUCAGAAAUCCAGGGAAGAAAAAUAUUCCUUCUUUUAAUGUCUACACAUGACAUCAGCAUGGUGCACUUCAGUUUGAAUCUGUAAUCUGAAUGAGCAGCAAUAAACAUAACAUGGAGCAAGCAGAAUGAUAGUCAAAAUGUGGCAAAAUGCAGCAUAACACAUUGUCAGAACACUCAGAAUGCAGUAAAAAUAUGGGGAAAAUAUUUGAAGGAUUGUUUCAGCAUGUCUUUGAAAGUUCUUAGAGUCCUUUUUGUGAUACAACAAAAGCGAAACUUAAACCAAUGCAUUUCAUUGAACUCUUAAAGCAAACAGCCGACAGUUAGAUUACCUUGAUUUGCAGAGAACUGCCAGCUAACACUGUUUAUUGCAUGCAUCACUUUUUGUUCACAGCACUGUGGGUCUUUAUGCAGGCUCAAGAGAUCAAAUGCACUCCUUCUGCCACCAGGAUCUAUAGCUAAAGGUUCAAGAUGAAAGGGUGUAUAGCCAAAGACAGAGAUAUGAACACAGAUUAUUUUAAAAAAUAAAAUGCUUUCACUCAGAAAUGAAAUAGCUCAGAUGGUUGUUAAGUACAUCAGCUGUGUAGAAAGAACAAUUAAUGUGUUGGUUAUUUUCUCUGAUAUGUAACAACCUUAAUUCAAAAAAGGAUAACGUCUCCUGGUAUGCUGCAGAAUUUGCAUUACAUAUAACACUUUUUUUCCUAAAGCAAUUUGAUUAAUAAUCUUUUCAUAUCCAGAGGCAGGUAGAAUGGAAAGAACAUGGGCAUUGAAGGUAAGCAAACAGGGUUAGAAUUCUGGAUAUGCCACUUAUUCUAUACACGACCUUGGACAAGUCACUUGGCCUUAGCCUAAGUUUUCUCAGCUGGAAUUACAACCACCUCACAGAAUCAUUGGAAUAAAGUAACACAUGUUUAAAUCAAGCAGCUGACUAUUAACUUUAUUACACUUUGAGUCUCUUAUUUGGCCUUCUGAAAAAUUCAGUCAGGUGGGAGGGCUGGUACCAUGGUUCUUUUUUUCUGUACAUAUCACAUAUGUUCAAAGACAGAGCCAGGAAAGUAAGUAUCCCCACAGCAUGCUUUGGGUUCCUUCUACCAUAUACAUUAUGAUAAUGUCACUAAAAUGGCUGCAAACUUAUAAGAAGUAGGCAGAUUUGCACUGAGUUACUCAUGAGCUAAUCAAGCAGUCUUUUGUCUUUAUUGUAUCAACACUUAGGAUCUGUAGAGAAGCAGGAAAGCAUUCAGCCAAAUACUAAUACUAUCACUGAGAAUGCCAAAGGUGAAAGGAGACUAUGGUCAGAUCCCAGAAACAGUGGAGAUAGGCCAUCUAAGUCUCAGCUGGCUAAAAUAAAUAUGAAACCGAGGUCAGUAGGAGAUGCAAUUGGAAAGUAAUAUUUUAGAAAAGGUAAGUAAAAGAAGCAUAGUCUAAGAGCAUUUUGAGGACAAGGCAGCAGGGGUUGAUGAAGAUACAAAAGGAAAAAAUCAAGAAGACUGUUCAAACGGUACAGAAAUAACAUUGCUCAAAGUGUUCUGCCAGAGGCAGAGCUUCUUUUGAAGGUCCAUUUUCUCAACCCUAGAAUAUUGUCUCUACUCAUUGGAAAGGCACAGUGCUUUGAGACAGCAUUGGAUACUCUGUUAGUCAUCACUUGAGGCAUUUCAAACAGGGGACACUUAACACAGGGAUUUGGCUUCCCAGUAAUUAAAGAGUUAGGAAGCAAAAUAGGGGAUGAACAGGCAACCCAAAGAUUAGCAACAGCAAGCUGACUGUCAUCUCUACAGCUCUCUAGAGACGCAACAGUAGAGGUGGUACGGCUGGACUACAGAAGUCAAAUCCAUCCAGCAAGGGCUAGAACUGUAAUGCGGUUUACCCAGGAAAACCUAAAUUGUGGAAAAGCGGGCUGACUUGUAGGCGUUGGAGCUACAGAAGAGAUGCAGCUGCUGCUGGAGAUACCACUUGAGGUAGAAUGAGGUGGGGGGAAAUACCCUGACUUGUCCUCACUGUCUCAGAGCUCUCUCUCCAGUGUCUCCCAGUGGCCAGAGCCAGCCGGAAACCAGAUAACUCAAGAAACAAGCAGACACAGCCGGACCAACUCCUCCCACAGCAAUAUAGAGCCCACAAGUAGAAACUGAGAGAAGAAUUUGAACAAAUAACCAGCAUGGAUACCAUGCUAAAAUUUUCCAUAGCCAGUGAUCUCUCUUCUUGUUCUCAUCUCUUGGGCUAAUAAAAUCAAGAGAUUUCUGGGUCGAUCUCUUAAAAAGAAGUAAAUAUCUCCUACUCCAGAAUAACAUUUGAGUAAAGUCUAUAUCCAACUGCUCCAUUAUUUUGCUUGUUUGAUUUUUGGGGUGUUUUAUUUUGUUUUUAGGGAACUCUGAGCUUAAAGAAAUUGGAAAAUGUCAUUUUUGUUGUACUCACUUUUGUGAGGGUCUAGCACAGUAUCUGCUACUUACCAUAUUUUAUGAAUAAAUAAACUUAAAGAGGUAAAGUACUGUAUACCUUUUGUUAAGGUUACUAUGAGUAAAUUCAAGGAUUUGUUAUAAUACCGCUAAAGAUGUUUAGAGUAUAAAUUAUCAAUAAGAUGAGGUCACCCAAAUAUGAAAGAUCCAGGAAAAUCUUACCAUCCAAAUAAAAAAUUCAAAUAUUUUAUAGUAAAAUAAGGUGAUUUUUUAAAAAAUCA
rnacentral:lncRNA from 1 species